GAUGAACGCUGGCGGCGUGCCUAAUACAUGCAAGUCGAACGCAUUGAGAGAAGUGCUUGCACUUUUCAAUUUGAGUGGCGAACGGGUGAGUAACACGUGGGCAACCUACCUGAUAGCGGGGGAUAACGAGUGGAAACAUUCGCUAAUACCGCACAACAAUAGAGAAGGCAUCUUCUUUAUUUAAAAGGCGCUUUCAAGCGUCACUACCAGAUGGGCCCGCGGUGCAUUAGUUAGUUGGUGGGGUGAAGGCCUACCAAGGCGAUGAUGCAUAGCCGAGUUGAGAGACUGAUCGGCAACAUUGGGACUGAGACACGGCCCAAACUCCUACGGGAGGCUGCAGUAGGGAAUCUUCCACAAUGGACGAAAGUCCGAUGGAGCAACGCCGCGUGUGUGAUGAAGGCUUUCGGGUCGUAAAGCACUGUUGUAUGGGAAGAAAUGCUAGGCUAGGAAAUGAGCUUAGUUUGACGGUACCAUACCAGAAAGGGACGGCUAAAUACGUGCCAGCCGCCGCCGUAA
rnacentral:rRNA from 1 species